GACGAACGCUGGCGGCGUGCCUAAUACAUGCAAGUCGAGCGAGCUGAACCAACAGAUUUACUUCGGUAAUGACGUUGGGAACGCGAGCGGCGGAUGGGUGAGUAACACGUGGGGAACCUGCCCCUCAGUCUGGGAUACCACUUGGAAACAGGUGCUAAUACCGGAUAAUAAAGCAGAUCGCAUGAUCAGCUUUUGAAAGGCGGCGUAAGCUGUCGCUAAGGGAUGGCCCCGCGGUGCAUUAGCUAGUUGGUAGGGUAACGGCCUACCAAGGCAAUGAUGCAUAGCCGAGUUGAGAGACUGAUCGGCCACAUUGGGACUGAGACACGGCCCAAACUCCUACGGGAGGCAGCAGUAGGGAAUCUUCCACAAUGGACGAAAGUCUGAUGGAGCAACGCCGCGUGAGUGAAGAAGGUUUUCGGAUCGUAAAGCUCUGUUGUUGGUGAAGAAGGAUAGAGGUAGUAACGGCCUU
rnacentral:rRNA from 1 species